rnacentral:lncRNA from 1 species
CCAUGCAACUCCCGCCCCCGCUCCGUAAUUGGUGAGGGUAAUUGCCGCUCCCAGUACGGCGGAGCUGGGCUCUCUCUCGGUCCACCGGCACCACCUGUUGCCCUUAAGUUAGAAAAGGCGGCGUUCUCGGAGGGAGCCAAGCAGCCGCUGCAGGUGAAGGGGAGCCUCGGGCGGUCAGGUCGCCGCCAGGCUGCCGGCUCCGUUAGGCCCGGCGCACCUGCAGCGCAGCCAGGGCGCCAAGCUGAGGCUCUCACAUCCGGGGCCCGCAGUCACCGCCAACGCGUUAACCCUUUGUCCGCAGGCCCACGGGUGCCGGCUGUGACCGCGCGGGCCCCUGAGGUGCUAGAGAUUAGACCUGGCGCGCCCGCUAGGAUCUUGCAUUGUCGAAAAGUCAGCUCCAAAAUUGCUGCAAUGAUAAGUUUGCUGAACUGCAUCUCUGCCCAGUGCCACUUCCUCGCAAAGACAACCCGCAGUGUAGUGCCCUGCUGCUUCCUUUGGCCUCUGUUGGUAAGAAAAUGGCUAAGAAAAUCGCUGCUGCUCUUCCGCCUCCAUUUCCUCCUUCAUCAGAACGGGGAGGCAAACGCGCGGAACGGAAAGGGGCUGUGGGGCAGCGGCCAGAUUGGAUUUUUCCUCCGCAGCCCUGAAGGGAUGUUUCUAAUGACUCAAGGAAAAUUAGCGGUGGUCCUGGAACUGUUCAUCUAAGUCUACUAGUCAUCAAAUGCAAAAUGCUUUUCACUGGAUGAUUCUGACUAAAUGUAGUUUUGUCUUUGAUCAAUAAGUUCACAAAUAUUUAUUGAACACCUAAUAGGCUGUAGAAACAAUUCUGUGUGCUUGGGGAUAAAAUGGUGAGCAAAACACGCUGUCCCUGCCCUUGUGGAAUAUUGGAGUCUCUAUGGAUAAAUAAAUUUAUAAAAUGUUUUCAGCGGUAAUUUCAGGGUUCUUAUGACAACCUGCAAAAGAAGUAAUGACUUAAAGUUGUAGGAAAGCUUUAGUCGACAAAACAUCUUUUUGGUGAAGACUGUAAGAUUGUAACUUGGAAGAACCUAUAUGGUACACUUUUUAAAAAUUGUACUUUUUUUCUUUUAAAUAUGGAUUGGAAUUUCCUCAAGAAAUAUCAUAGUUUUUCUCAAGACCACUAUUGCCAGUGGUAUUUAUUUCUUUUAUGACUAGCACAGGAACGUGCAUACUUGUAAUACUGGAUUCUUAAAGUCGGAAACAGGCUGGCCAACGUGGGGAGACCCCACCUCCACGAAAAAUACAAAAAAUUAGCCGGGCGUGGUGGCAGGCGCCUGUAAUCACAGCUCCUCAGGAGGCUGAAGCAGGAGAAUCACUUGAACCCAGGAGGCGGAGGUUGCAGUGACCUGAGAUCGCGCCAUUGCACUCCAGCCUGUGCAACACGAGCGAAACUUCGUCUCAAAAAAAAAAACAGAACAGAAAAAAGCAACGUAAAAACCUAAGUUCUAAGCACAAUGCAUAAUUUCAAGACAGCCACACUAAUUUUGGGAAUAAAACCUAGAAACAUCAAAUGGCACAUUCUAUAAACAUUAAUCUAUUAUAAACUAAGGAUUGCCUGAUUAGUUAUAAUUGUGAAAUCUCAUUAGCCAUUCACAUAAUCAGCAAAUAAUUGAUAAAGGGCUUAGUGCAAUACCCUAUUUCCUUUUCUUGGAAAUUCAACAGGGAUUCUUUAUUAAACUGGAAUAACUUGCAGAUCCUCCUUAAGUCAAUUUAGAGCAAGAAAAUUCUAUGGCCACCCUCUGUUUACAGUAGUUUUGAAAUCAGUAGGCCCUUCCAGUAUUCCUUGCAUAGUCUUCCCUGGAGCAAAAAGGGGAAAAAGGAAAACAAAAGCACUGAGGGCCUGCAAUCUUGCAGAAUCACCCGCAGUGAAUUGCACUUUCAUGUUAUACUCUAGGUUUUAAAACUACAGUAGUUGUUGGCAAACUGCAGCCUGUAGGUCAAAUUCAGGAGGUAAGAAUGGUUUUUACAUGUUUAAAGGGCUGCAAGAGAAUGGAUAAGAAAAGAAUAUGCAAUCAAGAUAAUCUAUGUCCACCCCCCAACACACACAUACAAAAUAAAUGUGCUCUCUGCUUCUGUAGAAAAAUGUUUGGUAUGCCUGUUCUAUAUAUAUACACACACACAUAUAUAUACACACACAUAUAUAUAUACACCAUAUGAAAACAGCAACAAAUGAUACUAAAAGCAAUGGAAUUUGUGGAACACAAAGUUCACUUUGUUUCAUGAUCUUAUAGAAGACCCAUUCAGAGAUUUUACUUAUAUUCUAUGCCAGAAAAAAAUCCC